rnacentral:rRNA from 1 species
GACGGAGGAUGCAAGCGUUAUCCGGAAUUAUUGGGCGUAAAGCGUCCGCAGGCGGCAGUUCAAGUCUGCUGUCAAAGACCGGGGCUUAACUUCGGAAAGGCAGUGGAAACUGAACAGCUAGAGUAUGGUAGGGGCAGAGGGAAUUCCUGGUGUAGCGGUGAAAUGCGUAGAGAUCAGGAAGAACAUCGGUGGCGAAGGCGCUCUGCUGGACCAUAACUGACACUCAGGGACGAAAGCUAGGGGAGCGAAUGGG